rnacentral:rRNA from 1 species
UGGGGAAUUUUGGACAAUGGGCGAAAGCCUGAUCCAGCAAUGCCGCGUGUGUGAAGAAGGCCUUCGGGUUGUAAAGCACUUUUGUCCGGAAAGAAAUCCUUGGCUCUAAUACAGUCGGGGGAUGACGGUACCGGAAGAAUAAGCACCGGCUAACUACGUGCCAGCAGCCGCGGUAAUACGUAGGGUGCAAGCGUUAAUCGGAAUUACUGGGCGUAAAGCGUGCGCAGGCGGUUUGCUAAGACCGAUGUGAAAUCCCCGGGCUCAACCUGGGAACUGCAUUGGUGACUGGCAGGCUAGAGUAUGGCAGAGGGGGGUAGAAUUCCACGUGUAGCAGUGAAAUGCGUAGAGAUGUGGAGGAAUACCGAUGGCGAAGGCAGCCCCCUGGGCCAAUACUGACGCUCAUGCACGAAAGCGUGGGGGAGCAAAACAGGAUUAGAUACCCUGGUAGUCCACGCCCUAAACGAUGUCAACUAGUUGUUGGGGAUUCAUUUCCUUAGUAACGUAGCUAACGCGUGAAGUUGACCGCCUGGGGAGUACGGUCGCAAGAUUAAAA